CUUGCUGACUUUAGAGUGGCUGCAGGUUUCUCCCAGGAGGUGCUCUCCUACUACUGGGGUAUCUCAACUGAGCUAUCCUUAGCCUCAGGAGCUUCAAGCUGACUAGGUGACUCCUCUAAUCCCCUGGAAUACACUCGGUCUCCAAGCAGGCUGUACUCCUUCUAGCCUCCUGGUGCAGCUAGAAACCAGGACUAUCUAGCUGCAUGUCAGGAGGAGGCUCUCAGCAUAUCUCGGGCUGGUGCCUUCUCACUUCUGUCUCUACAGACUCCUGACUAUGACCUCACUCCUCCCUGUCUGGGC